rnacentral:rRNA from 1 species
UACGUAGGCAGCGAGCGUUGUUCGGAGUUACUGGGCGUAAAGAGUGCGUAGGCGGUUUUCUAAGUUUGGUGUGAAAUCUCCCGGCUUAACUGGGAGGGUGCGCCGAAAACUGGAAGGCUUGAGUAUGGGAGAGGUAAGCGGAAUUCCUGGUGUAGCGGUGAAAUGCGUAGAUAUCAGGAGGAACACCUGCGGUGUAGACGGCUUACUGGGGGUCUUCUGACGCUGAGGAACGAAAGCCAGGGGAGCGAACGGG